GUGGUAAUGAUUGCCAGCAGAUCAUUUGGCUUAUGCUUGAAAGUUGAGGUCCUGACAGGUCGGAGUUCUUCCAAUGGAUGAAUCAAAAGUCACCAUGAAGGGUCGUCUAGGACCUGGCAUGAUGAUAUCUGUUGACUUAGAGAGUGGACAGGUAUAUGAAAACACAGACGUAAA